AUGCAAACCACCGCCUUCUGCUUGGGAGGAGCACGGGGAGGGAGCCUGAGCUGCCUUCCCGCCGCGCGGCAGGCCGGAAGUCCUUCUUGGAGGUGGCAGCGGCCGCGGCACGCCGCGCUGCGAUGCGGGCAGCGGCGAGCUCCGGCGCCGGAAGCACAGCAUGAGGUUGACGACAGGUCCGGUAAGAAUCCUUCCGGCUUCUACCCUUCUGUGUGGCGGGAUUUCUUCCUUCACCACUCUGAUCCAGCAGCUUCCUCUCAAAAGCAGGUGGAACCAUUUAUAUAUACCCUUCUCCUCUUUAUUACCUGCAUAUAUACUUGUUUUUUUACUGCUGUAUGUACAACAAAUGAACUACAUGCUGGAACACAAUCCUACCAGCUACUCGAGCAAUGUACGGUAACCUUCUUACGUGACAUGUCAAGUACGGAGUUUCUAGAAUAG
rnacentral:rRNA from 1 species